rnacentral:rRNA from 1 species
AUGUGUGUACCAAAGAAAGAAGGGGGAAUGGGUUUCAGAGAUAUACAUUGUUUCAAUCUUGCUCUAUUGGCCAAACAAGCUUGGCGUUUGAUAGAUAAUCCCGAGUCCCUUUGUGCCACAAUACUUCGUGCAAAAUAUUUUCUUGAUGGCGACUUGCUUAGUGCCACUUUGAAGAAGAAGGCAUCUUAUACAUGGCAGAGUAUUAUGGAAGGAGUGGUACACUCAAGCUGGGACAUGUUUGGUGAGUUGGAGAUGGGAAAAAUAUUAAUGUUUGGUCUGAUGCAUGGAUACCACAGUAUCCAUCUAUACUGUCGUUGA